AUCCUGCCUGCGAUCCCGAAGUCCAGGCGUGGGAGCCAGCGAUCUGCCCACGACCCCAAAGUGAGGCCACUCCACGGCCUCUGGGGCAAAUGCCUGUUAUUCUAGGCAGCCGGUCCCCAGAAGCUGGAAAGUACGUAAAAGUGCCAGAAGCUCCCAUGCUGAAAACUAAACAAAAGGAAUAGUUCAUAUAGCGGCAAAGCUGGAAAGUAUCUGGACAGUUAUCUACCAUCCUCCCUUUUUGUUUGUUGUUUUUUUGUUUUUCUGGGUUUUUUUGUUUUUUUUGUUUUUUUUUUUUUUUUUUGAGAUGGAGUUUCGCUUUUGUUGCCCAGGCUGGAGUGCAAUGGCGCGAUCUCGGCUAUGUCACGUGCAACCUGCAACCUCCACAUCCCGGGUUCAAGAGUUUAUCCUGCCUCAGCCUCCCGAGUAGCUGGAAUUAUAGGCAGGCGCCACGAUGCCCGGCUAAUUUUUGUAUUUUUAGUAGACAUGGGGUUUCGCCAUGUUGGCCAAGCUGGUCUCAAACUCCUGACCUCAGGUGAUCCGCCUGCCUCGGCUUCCCAAAGUGCUGGGAUUACAGGGGUGAGCCACCAUGCCCAACUUGUUUUUUGUUUGUUUGCUUGCUUGCUUGUUUGCUUGUUUGUUUUGAGACAGGGUCUCGCUCUGUCUCCCAGACUGGAGAGCAGUGGCACCAUCUCAGCUCACUGCAACCUCUGCCUCCCAGGUUCAAGAAAUUCUCCUGCCUCUGCCUCCACACCCGUCUAAUUUUUUGUUGUUGUUGUACUUUUUUUUUUUUUUUUUUGUAUAUUUAGUAGAGAUGGGGUUUCACGGUGUUGGCCAGGCCGGUCUUCAACUCCUGACCUCAAAUGAUCUGUCCACCUCAGCCUCCCAAAGUGCUGGGAUUACAGGUGUGAGCCACCGUGCCCGGCCCCAUCCUCCUUUUUAAUAGGCUUAAAAAAUAAAACCAAGGACCAAUGAUUUAAGUGAGGGACUCCAGAGGCCACAGAUGACAGUCAAAACGAAGUGAAAUUGACAUUCGUUGUUGAUUUUCACGUCAUAAAAUUAUAAUUUAAAUAUUAAUUUAUAAUACUAUUUUAUACAAUUUAGUCAGUAUUGUAAAAGUGCCUAAAAACUACUUAAAGAUGGUGUCUUCUUGCAAACCUGUAAAUAUUCCUGGAUGAGAGGAAUGAUGACAGUCAAAAGAA
rnacentral:lncRNA from 1 species